UCAGGACCUGGCCAGGGUAUCCAGACGGGACCCAAACUGGGUGCCCCUUGCCUCCAGUGCGCAGCAGUCAUCUCCAGUUCAGAUGGAGGAAGACUCCGACAACCCACAGGAAUAGGCAGCUGAGGUCACGGCGGCAAGUGUCAUUGAAACUGGGAAAGUACUUGGAAACCUGGAUCUCUCAGGUUUGCCCCCUGAUAUCCCAAGAGAAUUUGGUAGCAAAAGAAAACACUGGAGAUACAAUGCUGAGUGAAGAAAAAGUAGAACUGCAAAGACUAGCCCCUCAGAGCACGUGGUGUUCCCACGCUCUGGGAUCUGGGCCCCUUUUUGGUAGCAGAGUCGCAUGGCAGAGGGCAGGACAAUUGCUGGUGGCUUAUAGCAGGACCUAGUGUGCAUGCUGGAGGUCUCAGGUGCAACCAGAUUGGAGCUGGGAGAGCCUGAAGAGAAGUGGAACCACCCAGCCAAGCGCAGAAGGAGUUAGCACUUGUACAGAUAACAGAUCUUGCACAAACAGAUGGGAACCAAAAACAAAUGAAGAGGAUUGAAGAUGAUCCCACAUUUUAAAAGUCCUUGUCUGCUGGAGGUGGCAUUACCUGUGACCUCGCUUCUCUUCUUCACACAUGGCUGUUGUAGCAGGUACAUUGUAAAGAAGCAUGAUUAUUUCUAGAAAUGCAAAAACAGGUGGCAAAAUUUUGAAACAUGUCAGAAUUUCAAAGAAUAUCUAAUGAUGUUUUUAAAAAGCAUUCAAGCUACAAGGUAGGAAAACUUGUUUUAAUGCUCAAAGUAGGAGGGACUUUGAACAUUGUUUUUUAAAAGUAUGUAUGUGCAAAGUGAAGAGAGAGGAAUGCAUAGCAAAGACAUUUUUAUGUGUUUAUUUCUUCUGACCGAAGUAACAUUUGUUUUCUACUUUAUAAUUUCUCAAAAUUUGAAUGGAUUGCGAGCAGCAGAUAAAACUUUUGUAAUUUCUUGGAAUAGAAAGUUCUUCUAGAGUAAAAUGUGAAAAUAUUUGCAAGCACUCAAAAAUACAUAUUGAUAUGCAAGCAUGAAUACGGUAUAAGGUAGUACUGAAGACUGUGCAAAACUAUACCCAAUGUAUCCAGUUGUGUUUAAAGAGCAGCAGACCUGUGUGUGUAAACAUAUAUAUACAUAAUACAUAUAUUAUAUAUGUGUAGACGUAUUUAGAAGCUACAUAUUUACAAUAAUGCUCAGUGUCACAGUGAGUAUGCUUUUCAUCUUGAAAUUCUCAGUGUUGGCAUAUUUAUAUCCAUAUUUACAUUCACAUAAAAGGAGACGUUAAUGAAAUAUAGCUGCAUGUAAAGGGUAAGAACGCGUCCACCUAAGAGUUUUCUUAGGAUACACAUCUGGGUGCCUGAAUUUGAGAGAUACCAAUUUCAGCCUUCAUUUAUUUGAAUUUAUAUAUUGAAUUCUGUUUUCUUUCUUUACUGUUUUUAAAGAAAAUUUUAAGAUAAAAAUUUGGUAUAAGUUUUGCGAAGUAUAAAAUAUGAAACCCUGAUAUUCUUGGGCAUGAGUAUUUAGUGUCUGUUCCAAUAUUAGUUUUAAAGUAUAUGCAUAUAUAAUCAUAAUAAUAAGGUAAGGCAAGUCUCGCAAUCAUGAUUACUGAAUGGUGGCAUAGGUAUUUUAUGUCCUGUGUAUGAAUUUUUAAAGAGAUUAAGUGAUAAACUAAUUAAUAUUCUGUAAUUAAUUGGUCAGGCAGGUAGUUCUGAACAAAUGUUUGAUUGUCUGAAAUCCAGGUCUUGCAAAUAUUUUAUGAUAAUUUCAAACUACUCAAGAAUCAGAAGUGGAAACUUUGAAUCUAAAACAUGAUGCAUAAAAUAAAUCCAAUUUAAAUAUAAGUUUAUCAUAGUUUCUUACUGUAAAUGUAGAACUAUGUGGG